UACGGAGGGGACUAGCGUUGUUCGGAAUUACUGGGCGUAAAGCGCACGUAGGCGGAUUUGUAAGUCAGGGGUGAAAUCCCGGGGCUCAACCUCGGAACUGCCUUUGAUACUGCAAAUCUCGAGUCCGGAAGAGGUGAGUGGAAUUCCUAGUGUAGAGGUGAAAUUCGUAGAUAUUAGGAAGAACACCAGUGGCGAAGGCGGCUCACUGGCCCGGUACUGACGCUGAGGCACGAAAGCGUGGGGAGCAAACAGGG
rnacentral:rRNA from 1 species